GAAAAGGCCUUUCUCUAAAGGCCACCUAAAGAUUUUCUUAAAAGAGCUAU
rfam:Tupaia chinensis contig62807, whole genome shotgun sequence.